AAUCUGUCUUAGUGGCGGACGGGUGAGUAACGCGUGGGCAACCUGCCCUGUACCGGGGGAUAACACUUAGAAGUAGGUGCUAAUACCGCAUAAUAGGGAAUACCGCAUGGUAAUCCUUUGAAAACUCCGGUGGUACAGGAUGGGCCCGCGUCUGAUUAGCCAGUUGGCGGGGUAACGGCCCACCAAAGCGACGAUCAGCAGCCGGCCUGAGAGGGUGGACGGCCACACUGGGACUGAGACACGGCCCAGACUCCUACGGAAGGCAGCAG
rnacentral:rRNA from 1 species